rnacentral:rRNA from 1 species
UGGGGGAUAUUGCACAAUGGGCGAAAGCCUGAUGCAGCGACGCCGCGUGGGGGAUGAAGGCCUUCGGGUUGUAAACUUCUUUUGCUCUGAACAAGGCAUGCUAAUGGGUGUGUUGAGUGUAGGGGUUGAUUAGCGCCGGCUAACUACGUGCCAGCAGCCGCGGUAAUACGUAGGGCGCGAGCGUUGUCCGGAAUUAUUGGGCGUAAAGGGCUUGUAGGUGGCUGGUUGCGUCUGUCGUGAAAGCUAAUGGCUUAACUGUGGGUUUGCGGUGGGUACGGGCUGGCUUGAGUGCGGUAGGGGAGGCUGGAAUUCCUGGUGUAGCGGUGGAAUGCGCAGAUAUCAGGAGGAAUACCGGUGGCGAAGGCGGGUCUCUGGGCUGUUACUGACACUGAGGAGCGAAAGCAUGGGGAGCGAACAGG